rnacentral:rRNA from 1 species
CCCCCAGUAGUGGCGAAUGAAGCGGGAAAAGCUCAAGUUUGAAAUCUGGAGGGUGGCCGUCCAGAGUUGUAAGCUGAAGAGGCGUCGUCGGGAUCCGGCCCGGGCUCAAUUUCCUUGGAACAGGAGGUCAUGGAGGGUGAGAACCCCGUCUGUGGCUUGGAUGCCGUGGUCCCAGUGACGUGCCCUCGAAGAGUCGGGUUGUUUGGGAAUGCAGCUCAAAAUGGGUGGUAAAUUUCAUCUAAAGCUAAAUAUUGGCGAGAGACCGAUAGCAAACAAGUAGAGUGAUCGAAAGAUGAAAAGUACUUUGAAAAGAGAGUGAAACAGUAUGUGAAAUUGUUGAAAGGGAAGCGUUUGGCAUCAGCCCUUGGCGGCCGUCGAACAUCGGGGCUCUGGCCCCGUGCACUCGACGGCCGUUGGGCCAGCGUCGGCUCUGCCCGCCGGAGAAAGGCCCUGGGGAAGUGGCUCCUCCGGGAGCGUUAUAACCCUGGGCGUCAUGCGGCUGGGCGGGGCCGA